GCUUUAAAAGGUAACAGCCAUCCGUUGGUCUUAGGAACCAAAAACUCUUGAUGCAAAUCCUAGUAUUAGCU
rnacentral:tRNA from 1 species